rnacentral:lncRNA from 1 species
UACAUGUUAUCAUUAGGUUGGUAACAAAUAGCAUAAAAAUAGCUGUGCCUUUAAUUUGUGAUAAAGGCUAUUUUCUUUUUCCCAUAGAAAGCUAACACAUGCCUAUCACUAUGAUGGGGUUGAAUGCAACCAGUCUGUUGCAUUAAGAACAGUGACACACAAACGUAGAACAAUGAUAAAACAUGUAUAAAUCAACCCUACAUGAUUUAGGUUUAGAGAAAAAAAUAUUUUUGAAAGGUUUUGUAAAGACUAUUUAAAAAAUAUAGGGAAGGGCUGGGUAUGGCCUUCCCCAAACUGCUCUUAUCUAAACUGUAGUAACCUUUUGAAAGGUUCAUGAAGAUUCAAGAUGAAACCAUUUGAAAGAUGGGUAUUUAGCAUUUGUCAUUUUAUAUUUAAGAAACACCCAUAGCGUGCUUGGUGCUCAACAUUAAACUUGGUCUUUGGAGUUCUGCUCCACCGUCUGGCUAUCGACAUUUGUCAUAUGAACAUAUCUUUAAAGCAGUUGGCUUUAAACAUAUACCUUUUGUUAAACAAACGACCAAAACAAAAACAAAAUAAAAAGAAAGGAAGGAAGGAAAGAAGGGAAGAAGGCAGGCAGGAAGAAAGGAAGAGAAAAAGUAUUGUAUCAGUCUUUGGUACAAGAAUUUCAAACCAUAUAUCUCUGGUUAAACAUGUUGGUUAGCAUUAAAAUUUGCUUUUGAGAGUAUCUGGUGAUUUUGCAUUUACCAGUAUCUCUACUCUCUGGUGUUAGCAAGUGUUACCUUUUUUCACCCACAGAUCCUGCUAGUUCAGCCACGUGGAGAGUUGCUGAUGAGUUUGUUGUUUGGGGCUCUAUGUCCCGUGACCAGCUUCCGACCGUUUUGCACUUUAGUUUCCUUUUUCUACUUUGUCAAAUAUUUUGAUCUUUCACUAUGUCAGCCUGAAUCCUUAUCCAACAAUCUUUACACCUGAGAAAACCUCCCUUUCCAGUGGAGAACGUAGUGGUAAUCGAUGCAGUCUCACUGCAAUGUGCUUUCUUUCGCUGUUCUUCCUCAUCUUCACCACAGUGAGUGAGCCAGUCCACUAGAAGUCAGGGCCUGUGGGAUACAAGAGUCUCGGAUCUCAAGGUAUUACUAACUCUAAUGAGUUGCUGGGAACAAGCAAAUCAGCCAUAUUUUCUCCAUCAGCCAUAUGAGAAAACUCAGAAAUACCUAAAUCCCUUCUGCCUCACUUCGCUAUGGAACCAUUUUUGUUUAAAUGGUCUCUUAAAUUGGAGUUGUAAGCAUCAGUUGUCUUUUACUCACUACCUAAUAAAGGAUGAAGCCUAACCAUAGAACUUAUAGUGGAUUCUCUGUGAAUUGUUUCCCUCUACUCCACAUAUUUAUCAACAGUAAAUCAACAUCUAUUACAAUUUGGACUGCUGUAAAGCUAUAUCCUUUCCCAUGGGGAACUUUUUUCAUGAAUAAAGAUCAAGAAUUCAGAUUGGUCAGCAGUGGUGCUCUGAAAAUCCCCAAGAGUGGUCUGACUUUAUGGUUACAUAUCCCUUCCCACGCAUCACACCUAUGGCAAGGAAGUAAUAGAGAACGCAUCUCUGAUUUCAUUUGAAAUAAAUAUAAAUGCAUUGCAAGAGCCAAAUACCUCUGGACUAGAGCAUUGUUGCACCUCAUCCAGAUCAUCCAGACAAAUGGGAAACAGUCUUUGGGGAGGUGCUGUGUUUCUCUUCUGAGAAAACAGGUGAUUACACAUGACAAAUUGCUCCUCUCACUGGUCCUAAACUUUGACGAGUGGUUGUUGUAUUCACAUAAGCAAACACAGUUGGCUUUUGGCAGUUUAUAUCAUCACUGCCUCAUCUGAAAGGAUUGCAAUCUUUAGGUACUAUUGGGCUUCUCCUCACCUGUUGCAAUAAUUCACUGCCGUUAUCAUCAGAGAUAUAAUUUGGCUUUUUGAAAGGUGCUACAUGUUUUCCUGCCAAGGAACUAUUUAGCCAGGAGAGUGUUUAUGCAUAUUUGGAAAUUGAAAGAGCAGGAAAUCAUAAAAUGAAGGAUUUAAAAUUAAAAGACAAUGAAGGAUUAAAAGCAGAAUCCUUCAAAGUUUAUUAUGGAUGUGCCCAUGUAAGUUUCUAAG